rnacentral:rRNA from 1 species
UAGGGAAUAUUGCCUCAAUGGGUGAGAGCCUGAACCAGCCAUGCCGCGUGCAGGAAGACGGCCUUCUGGGUUGUAAACUGCUUUUAUUUGGGGAUAAAAAGCUCUUGCGAGGGCAAUUGAAGGUACCAGAUGAAUAAGCACCGGCUAACUACGUGC